rnacentral:tRNA from 1 species
GGCUCUAUAGUUUAAAUAAAAAUAUCAGGUUGCAAACUUGAAGCUAUAAAUUUUUAUUAGGGUUU